rnacentral:rRNA from 1 species
UACGUAGGAGGCAAGCGUUGUCCGGAAUUACUGGGCGUAAAGAGCGCGUAGGCGGCGCUGUACGACCCGUGUGAAAGCCCCCGGCUCAACUGGGGAGGGUCACGGGUAACGGCAGUGCUCUGAGUGCAGGAGAGGGAAGUGGAACUCCGGGAGUAGCGGUGAAAUGCGUAGAGACCCGGAGGAACACCGGUGGCGAAGGCGGCUUCCUGGUCUGCAACUGACGCUGUGGCGCGAAAGCUAGGGGAGCAAACGGG